rnacentral:rRNA from 1 species
GAUGAACGCUGGCGGCGUGCUUAAUACAUGCAAGUCGAGCGAACGGACGAGAAGCUUGCUUCUCUCAUGUUAGCGGCGGACGGGUGAGUAACACGUGGAUAACCUCCCUAUAUGACUGGGAUAACUUCGAGAAACCGGAGCUAAUACCGGAUGAUAUUUUGAACCGUAUGGUUCAAAAGUGAAAGACGGUCUUGCUGUCACUUAUAGAUGGAUCCGCGCUGCAUUAGCUAGUUGGUAAGGUAACGGCUUACCAAGGCAACGAUGCAUAGCCGACCUGAGAGGGUGAUCGGCCACACUGGAACUGAGACACGGUCCAGACUCCUACGGGAGGCAGCAGUAGGGAAUCUUCCGCAAUGGGCGAAAGCCUGGCGGAGCAACGCCGCGUGAGUGAUGAAGGUCUUCGGAUCGUAAAACUCUGUUAUUAGGGAAGAACAUAUGUGUAAGUAACUGUGCACAUCUUGACGGUACCUAAUCAGAAAGCCACGGCUAACUACGUG